rnacentral:tRNA from 1 species
GCCGGAGUGGCGGAAUGGCAGACGCACCUGACUCAAAAUCAGACGGGUAACACCGUGUGGGUUCAAGUCCCACCUCCGGCA